CAGAUGCAAAGAAAGGCCAGCAGGAGAAGCAGGGGACCUGAAGCAUCAGCCACAAGUCCAGGUUGGAACCAGAUGGCCCAGAGGUCCCUUGGCUUCAGACGCACUUGCAAUAUUGCCUCCAAAACAAUCCCGAGGUCUCCGGGUACCACAGUGCUGAGCCCCCCACCUCCAGGGCAUUCCCUCAGGCCAAGCAGUUCUCGAGGGCCCCAUCCGGUUCUCAAAUGGGACAUCUUUCACCAUCCAAGUCACUCACCGUCAUCUUCCCAAGUCGGACCCCAAAACCGUGCUCAGUUCUCACCCAGGGUCUGACCUUGGUUAAGACACUCCACAGGGCCAGCCUCUGGUUUCCUCCUAUGGAAUGCUGGUGCAGGGGAUGGUGCAUGAAAGCAUCUUGCAACAAGUGUUUUCCUUUGCUCGGCUCCUGCCUGAU
rnacentral:lncRNA from 1 species